CCUACGGGUGGCAGCAGUGGGGAAUAAUGGACAAUGGGGGAAACCCUGAUCCAGCGACGCCGCGUGAGUGAAGAAGUAUUUCGGUACGUAAAGCUCUAUCAGCAGGAAAGAACCUGACGGUACCUGACUAAGAAGCCCCGGCUAACCACAGGCCCGCAGCCGCGGUAAUACGUAGGGGGCAAGCGUUAUCCGGAUGUCCUGGGGGUAAAGGGGGCGUAGACGGCAGCGCAAGUCUGGAGUGAAAUGCCGGGGCCCAACCCCGGAACUGCUCUGGAAACUGUGAAGCUGGAGUGCAGGAGAGGUAAGCGGAAUUCCUGGUGUAGCGGUGAAAUGCGUAGAUAUCAGGAGGAACACCGGCGGCGAAGGCGGCUUACUGGACUGUAACUGACGUUGAGGCUCGAAAGCGUGGGGAGCAAACAGGAUUAGAUACCCUGGUAGUC
rnacentral:rRNA from 1 species